GGCCGCUUUACACAUAGCUCAGUGGUAGAGAACAUGCUUUGCAAGCAAAAGAUCCUGGGUUCAAUUCUGUUAUUUCCAGGUAGGUCU